ACCAGCAGCCAGCACAUUCGGUCCACCAGCGCAUUCAGCGCAGGGACUUCAACCAAUUGAUGGCUGCUCCUGUCAACUUGACAGUAUCUAGAAUCAGCCGUAAGAUAGGCCUUUGUAGAUGAUAAAGGCAUCCCAGAGAGGUCUGGGGGAGUGCCUGCCCGGACGGUGGGUGGCACCUUCCAAUUGCCCUUUUCUUCCUGGUGGCAUGUGUCUAUAGCUCCCGUGGACUCUGACUUCUGCCUCAGUACGGACUGAACAUCAGUGGCUCUCCAGGAAUCGUCCAGCAUCACUUGGGACAGCCGAGGCAUUGGGUUUUGUGCUGAGCAGCUCCGAGGUUUUCUGCCCCUUCAACGUGCAGAAGGCGAUUGUGGGGAGACCUAGCCCUAUCCUGCAAGCCCAUCUAAUAACACGCUGUUGUGGGUUAUUUAUUUGUACACUGUGUGAAGAUGUAUUGCUGUGACUGGCGUAAUAAAAGGCUACGCAGCAGAGUAUGGGCGGGGCUUCUGGGCAGAGAAAGGUCUCUGGGAAGAAGAAAGGCGGUGUCACUGGACAGAGGAAGCAGGAUGGGCAGUAUGGAGCAUGGAGGUUAGGUAGCGAGCCAUGCGGAAGAACACAGAUGCUCAAAUACGGGUUACUUUAAGCUAUGAAGACGAGGUUUGCCGAUAGAAUGAGUCACGUGGCAUGGUAAGCCUGAGACCAUGAUUUCUUUGCUGGAUGUUACCCUGGGUCAACUCUGAGCUCCUAAAAAGCUGCCUGCACCCCUUGGCGUGUGGCCUCUCCUGCCUCAAGCAGGCGACUGCACGUAAACCUUGGCCUGUGCUUCAAAUCCACAGUUUCUCUCUCUGA